rnacentral:lncRNA from 1 species
AAAGUAAUAAUAAUAAUAAAUAAAAUAUAUUUCACAGGUAUUAAAAACUGUCUUCUAAACAGGAGUGGAAACAGAUGAGAAUAAACACUUAGAUCUACAUUUAUCACAGUCUAACUGGAAGCAGAAACACCAGCAUUGAUCUCAGACAAGCCAAUUCUUUCAGCACACCCCAAAGAAAAAUGCAGACCAUGCUUUCAGAACAGCAGGCGACACUAACAAACACUGAUGCCAGUUCUCACAAGAGACAAAGAAGAUGACAAUCAUGAGGUAAUGGCAUCAUGAGGAUUCCUAGACCAGCUUCUUGUUCUUGGCCACUUUCCAGGAAUUCUGAACUCUGUGACAGACAAGUAGCUAUAAAGGUAAUGUAUGAUCCUUACAGUCCUUGAAUCAUGAUAUUAAUGCCAUUUGAAUAUUUGGCAUCCCUACUGAAGAAAAUAGGAUCAGUCUGGUAAUCUGUUGGCUGCUGUAGGAUCUAAGAAGUUGUAAUCCUUAGCUUUCCUGCCAACGAAUUCCUCAUUAAGCACAAGAUAUCCUGAAACAAAUCACUAGUAAAACCUCUCCAGGUGUUAAUAUAUGUAGAGUUCUUCUAAGCAGAUAAUUCUAGCCAAAAAUUAUAUUUUUUUUCUACUCUCUUUCUGUCAUUGCGCCAAGCUGAAAUAGUCUAAAGGUUUCCAUAUAUUGCAAUGUGUGAUUUGGGUUAAAUGCUCAUAGUGAAGCACAGGGAA